UACGUAGGGUGCGAGCGUUGUCCGGAAUUAUUGGGCGUAAAGAGCUUGUAGGCGGUUUGUCGCGUCUGCUGUGAAAAUCCGGGGCUCAACCCCGGACUUGCAGUGGGUACGGGCAGACUGGAGUGUGGUAGGGGAGACUGGAAUUCCUGGUGUAGCGGUGGAAUGCGCAGAUAUCAGGAGGAACACCGAUGGCGAAGGCGGGUCUCUGGGCCGAUACUGACGCUGAGGAGCGAAAGCGUGGGGAGCGAACAGG
rnacentral:rRNA from 1 species